CUGUGAUGGUGCCAUUUCUUAGGACACUUUUGGAUUCAUCAUGCAAACAACAACGCUCUGGUCAGC
ensembl:snoRNA SNORD58 Small nucleolar RNA SNORD58